UCUUUCUCUCUCUAAGUUCAGUUUCAUUUUCUUCUUCUUGCUCUGACUUCUCUCUACUUUUCCACCACUUCCCACCGUUGAAAUUUCAAAUAGGUAGUGUGCUUUUGUUCACGGAGUUGAGAGAUUUCCCUUCAUCCGAUUAGAUUUUUGUUUUGGACGGAUCUUGUUGAACUUGCAUCUGUGCAAGAGUACUGUUUUGGGUUUCCUCUAAAGAGUGUUGUGCUUGUAACCACUAAGAGAGGAUUGAUCCAUGUGGUGAGGAGUAGCAGGAGGUCCUGGUCUUGGAGGCUUCCAGUAUGCUCCAGGGCGCGGAACGAAUUAACCUCGUGAGUGUGGUAGGGUGGAACCCAUUGGCAACGGCUUUGCAAAGCAGUAGAGGCCACCACGAGUGCAUAACCCGCCAUAGCUCGAUGGUGAGGAGGUUCCUUUGGAGACAACUCUGGAAGUUGAAGACAAUGUUGCUGCCUAGUCUCCUAGGAUGCUAUUAGUUGAUCUUAUACUCUAGAAUACUAUUUCCCAUUUCAGCUUAUAUUUUAUAUCUUUUUGAAGUUUAAGCAUAUAUUCUGAAGUUAUUUUGAGGAUAACUGUAAUCCUAUUUACU